rnacentral:lncRNA from 1 species
UAUCUUCAAAAUGUUGUUCAAAAGUGUAAUAUGGAGGAGCUAAAUACAAUCUUCCUUUGUCCAAUAAUGUUACAUAACAUGAACAAAUUCAAAAACCGUACUACUUGCAUUUCAAUUUAUGUGAAAGCAUUUCUUUUAGUCUAUUCCAAAAAUCUUUUGAAAUUUUGAAACAAUUUGGUUAACAUUUUUCCUGUUAUCUCUAAUUACAAGCUUUUGUAGCAACACAAAUAUUAUGACAUGGAUAAGACCACAAGUUUUAAAUAAUGUUUACAUCCUUACAUACAAUAUGCUUAGGCGACAAUACCCACUCGACUUGGUAACACGACUUUGGGCGAUUGAUCGAUUACAACGCCUUGGAAUCUCUUAUUAUUUUGCCGAAGAGUUCAAGGAACUUUUGCAUCAUGUGUUCUGCAGGUAAACAAAGAGCAAUAUAUUUGCUUCACACAAUUAAGAGCAUGAAAUGACCAAUUUUGAGCAAUUUAUGUGACAAGUCUAAUUUAUUGUUGAAAUACAGAUAUUUGGACGAGGAGAAGGAAUUCAACUGUUUGUGACGUUGAUGAUACAUGUAUGGCUAUUAGGUUUCUUAGGUUACAUGGGUUUGAUGUUAGUCCAGGCAAGUCAAUGGAAAAUGAGUUCCUCAGUGAUUUCGCAAAAUUUACUUACUCCAUGUCCCAAUUUAUUUGGAGGAGCUCGAAUUUGGAUUUUGACCGUGAAUUCGGACAAUCUUCAAUUAGUAAUUAGUUAUAAACCAAUAAUGUAUGCAGGGAUUAUAAUACGUAAGGUAACGAUUUGGCAAAAAAGUACUCUUUCAUAAUGUAAAGACGUGUUUGCUUGGUUCAAGAAUUUUGUAAGGUAAUUCGAGUUCUUCGACUGUCACACCUCCUUUUUACACACUCGAAAGGUAUAUAUAGGGAGUUUUUUUUCAAUUAAAGUGACAUUAUUUGAAAUGGGAUUAUUUAUUUAUUUUUAUUCAGAGUCGCCACUUGGGAUGGUAUGUUUUCUGGUGUCCCAAGUCACCGGUUUAUUUUAAAAUCCCAAAUCGAGGACAUUUCGACUAUCCUUUUGAAGUCUGCGAACCAAAAUUCUGAACAAGGAAUUCUGUUCACCCGAAGGAGGGUGUUAGGCACCCCCGGAUUCCGUGGUUCUAGCACGGUCACUUAAACCAUUACAAUUAGCCUAUUAUCUAAUUUUAAUACAUGUUUUAAUUUAUGGUGCAAUUUUAAAUUAUUAACCGCUUUUAAUUAAUUUUAGGAAGGGUCAACGUUAUAUAAAACACGUCUUGAAUCACGCCACAUGAAAUGCACCCGCGGUUCGUGACACAUUUUAUUUAACGCUGUUAAGAAUUGGAUUUGGGCAUGAAAUGCACACCAGAGUUUAAGAAAAUUAAUUUAAAUUACGCGCCUGAAGCAACUACGCACUUUCAAGUUUGCGAGGGCCAUGGAAAAUUUAACUAAUGGCACACCUCGAUUUCUAAAGAGUUAAAAUUAAUAAAGUGAGGGCCAUGAGUUUAGGGGUUUUAUUUGGCAUGGCACGCCUCAAACUAAUUUUAAGAGUCUAACUAAUUAAUUAAGGAAGGUUCUGAAGAAAUUAUAAUUACUUUAGGCUAAAGUUCCAACCUAAUGCACUAAUCAAAAAUAACAUUACAAUAAAUUCGUCCUAUUUUAUUACAUGGCCUGGGCCUGGCCUGAAGCCCAAUAGCCAAACGCCGGUUACUUGACAAAACGAGGACAAAAUUGGGCUCAACAUGAAGCCCAAGUUGAAAACUUAAUGGCGAGAAGGGAGUUGGACACAACUGGGCCAACGCUGACAGCCCAGUUUAAAGUUUUAGCACUACCAUUUUGGGGUAUAUCACAAAUUACAUGCAAAUCAUUGAAUAAGGACAAACUUAGUCACAUGUGAAGCACAUUUGAAUACCACAUACAUUCUAUAUUGAAAAUAUGAUUCCCGAUGCGAUAACAAAGACCUUUACACAAGUUGUUCCUCCUUUAACAUUAAAAGAAUUCAAAGAUCUAAGCUAAUGAUAAAUUCUGAUUUCAGAUUAGCACAUUUAAACAAGGCUAUAUGACCCAAAACUUUCUAAAGGAAACCAAAUGUAAGAGUUAAACUAAAAUUCAAAAAUCCUCAGGUCUGAUUUCAGGUUCAGAGUCUGUUUGGGAAACCAUUCGAAUUCAAGAUGCUCACAUGUGAGCAAGGGCAAGCUAAAUACCAAAUCCUAGCAUGAUGGGGCCAUGUUUUAAACUAUGAGUAAAGGAACCAGUACUUUGCCUUUUUAACAAAUUCAAACGGAAAUCAAUAUUAAAACAAUACUGAGCUCAGCAUAAACUAAACAAACGUCCAAAACCCAAGUAAAUCGAAUGAAUCUUUUGUUGCAAUAGCCUUAAAAUUCCAUUUACAUAAAUACCUAACGCGAAUUCAUGCAGACCAAAUGGCUAAAGCCCGUGAUUUGUCCAAGGAAAACCAAACUAGCUAUAGAUUUUGAUGAUUUUCGGAAAUGUAAGAAAACAACAUUUAAGAAACUAAUGCUCUCUAUAUUUCAAACUCAAGCAAAUAACUUUAUGUUCCUCCAUUUAACAUGUCAAGGAGGUGAGAAAUACCUGGAAAUAAAAAGGGAAACAAAAUAAGUGAAGAAUCAGUAGAUAGCAGUAGCAGAAUCAACUUUUAUAGAACCAGCAAUCCAAACAAAUUCAUCCUCUUCCAAACCAGUAAAUACCCCCACAUGAACAACAAGUUCUUGAGUCUCAAAACACUGAUUAUCUAGGCAGUUUAAGGGCAGAAUUUAACGAAUUUGUACCCAGAAAAAAUGUAGGAAUUUUCAGUAUUCUCUCAAAGUCUUCCAAAUACUCAGCCGCUUUUCUUUUUAGGAUUUUUUAUUCUCUAAAAAUCUCCCUUGUGAGUGAAGAAAGAGUGUCUUUAUAGGCAAGACUUAGGCAGCAAAGAAUGAUUUUAGUUUUCCAUUUUUAUCCUUUUGAAUUUUCAUUUUUGUUGUUUAAUCCCUAG